rnacentral:rRNA from 1 species
UUGCUAACAGGUGAAGCUGAGCACUCUAGACGAACUGCCGUUGACAAAACGGAGGAAGGUGGGGAUGACGUCAAAUCAUCAUGCCCCUUAUGUUCUGGGCUACACACGUGCUACAAUGGCCGGUACAGACGGAGGCGAAGCCGCGAGGCGGAGCAAAUCCGAAAAAGCCGGUCUCAGUUCGGAUUGCAGGCUGCAAUUCGCCUGCAUGAAGUCGGAAUCGCUAGUAAUCGCAGGUCAGCAUACUGCGGUGAAUACGUUCCCGGGCCUU